rnacentral:piRNA from 1 species
CCCAUGUUUCUGAAAUUCUUGCCGCCA